rnacentral:tRNA from 1 species
GGGCCCUUGGCACAGUUGGUAGCGCGCACGCUUCGCAUUUGAGAGUGCGUGAGGUCGUGGGUUCAACUCCCACAGUGUCCA